rnacentral:rRNA from 1 species
UACACUCCUACGGGAGGCAGCAGUGGGGAAUUUUGGACAAUGGGCGAAAGCCUGAUCCAGCAAUGCCGCGUGAGUGAAGAAGGCCUUCGGGUUGUAAAGCUCUUUUGUCAGGGAAGAAACGGUGAAAGCUAAUAUCUUUUGCUAAUGACGGUACCUGAAGAAUAAGCACCGGCUAACUACGUGCCAGCAGCCGCGGUAAUACGUAGGGUGCAAGCGUUAAUCGGAAUUACUGGGCGUAAAGCGUGCGCAGGCGGUUUUGUAAGUCUGAUGUGAAAUCCCCGGGCUCAACCUGGGAAUUGCAUUGGAGACUGCAAGGCUAGAAUCUGGCAGAGGGGGGUAGAAUUCCACGUGUAGCAGUGAAAUGCGUAGAUAUGUGGAGGAACACCGAUGGCGAAGGCAGCCCCCUGGGUCAAGAUUGACGCUCAUGCACGAAAGCGUGGGGAGCAAACAGGAUUAGAAACCCCGGUAGUCCCAUG